rnacentral:misc_RNA from 1 species
CCUGCUUUCGUGCAGCCGACCGCGAGUGCGAUGGGGCGCUUCGUUCGGAAGAUCUCGAGACUGGGGCUCGGUAUAUUCGGUGGGUUGUAUCGCAUAGCCGAGAUGCGGCGACUCGGACACCCUACGUUAGUGACGUGCCGUUCUACUCUCUCGCUCCCCCUCGGGGCGGGCGAGAAGCGACGGGAGCGGCCCCCUUACGACGUCCAGUGCGUCCUCGGUGGCGCUGGCGGGCGUGUGGCCUGCCUGCGCCGUCCGGCCCUCGGGACGGUCGUGUGCUUACGGAUGCAGUGAAUCGGACGGGGUCGGGUGCCCCGUGCGGCUCCCGACCCGACGAAGGCCCAGGAAGGUGUUUGCGCACGCCGCGAGCGGGCAAACAAGAGGGCAGAGAAAAUGAACGACCGCCGCACGUGCGUCCUCGUCCCCGUCUCCGUCUGGCGAGGGGGGACGGGCCGCCCGCGGGCGUGCGUCUCGGAGGGUUCGCUAC